CCUACGGGUGGCAGCAGUGGGGAAUAUUGGACAAUGGGGGGAACCCUGAUCCAGCGACGCCGCGUGAGUGAAGAAGUAUUUCGGUAUGUAAAGCUCUAUCAGCAGGGAAGAAAGAAAUGACGGUACCUGACUAAGAAGCCCCGGCUAACUACGUGCCAGCAGCCGCGGUAAUACGUAGGGGGCAAGCGUUAUCCGGAUUUACUGGGGGUAAAGGGAGCGUAGACGGCGAUGCAAGUCUGAAGUGAAGGCGGGGGCCCAACCCCCGGACUGCUUUGGAAACUGUAUGGCUGGAGUGCAGGAGAGGUAAGUGGAAUUCCUAGUGUAGCGGUGAAAUGCGUAGAUAUUAGGAGGAACACCAGUGGCGAAGGCGGCUUACUGGACUGUAACUGACGUUGAGGCUCGAAAGCGUGGGGAGCAAACAGGAUUAGAUACCCCUGUAGUC
rnacentral:rRNA from 1 species